rnacentral:lncRNA from 1 species
UAAAAUUUAAACUCAUAAUAAAAAAGUGAAAUUUUAGGAUCACAAGUUUUGUUACAACAUAUUUAAUUAAUUUUUAAAAAAUUCAACAAAAGCUGCUAUAUUUACCAUAAUAACCUUCAUGUGAACUGGAUAGUCAACAGAAAUAUAAAUAAGGCUGUUGUCACCGCGAAGUAACGCAACUUGUUAACUCACCUUAGAGGAGUCUACAAGUUAUCUCUAUUUAGUUCGAAGAAUUGUUUAAAUUCAAACAUUUUAUUAGGCCAUUAAUAUUGGAACAAUUAACCAGAUUUACUGUUGUAUAACUAAUGACUACAGAAGAUGAUUUUGGUUGUAUAAGAGUUGAAAAAAUUCCAGAGGAA